UGUUCCACCAGGUGCUUCCGCAAAGUCUCCGUAUCUUGUUUCUGCUUUGUUGUGAUUGGCCUCAAUCUCAAACAGUCGGGUGGUCAACCGUGAAGCGCAGUAAGAAUUCCUCUUUCCUAAUAGAUGCAGCAGUGUCCAAAAUAGAGUCGUUAUCCAUCCUGGCCUGGCUCACCUGAAACGAAGUAUCAUAGCAAGGAAAGAAACAGACUCCGAUUGGCUGGACCUGCUCUCACCUCGCGUAGGGUUACUCACAUAGAGCUAUGGAGACCGGCGCACUCUGGUAAGAAGCUUGGGAGCUCUUACUGAGAAGAGGAAGAAUGGAUUAGACUACAUGACUGUUUGCUCACCUGUGACCACCCAUUUUAAAGACAUAUUCUCUAAACAAGAGCAAGGAUCCAAUACACACAGGCAGACCCGGUCCUAUCUCAGAAAGACAUGGUGCCUCAAGUUCGGGUGAAAACCUUCCAGAUAAAGUUACGGACCUCCGCAGCCUCUCCAGCAAACAAGCCACAUCGAGAGCUUCUCCUGCUCCACAUCCUCUCUGUCUCUAAGCAGUGUGGUUCUCAGGGCUCCUGUUAGCCUGUCAGAAGGCAAGGAUUAGCAUGAAUUUUGAUUUCUGUUGCAACCACCACGUUGUUUCAGAAAUAAAGUUGGCAUGGCAAGCAUCUUGGUUGAUUUAAUCCCUGACAUGGGAAGCUCAUUUAUAGCAUCACAGCCUUCUGAAUGUUUAAAAACUUAAGUGUUAUAAGCCUGCUGUGCUUUUCCUGCGAAGGGCAGACCAGCGCUCAAUGAAUAAUACCAACUGGCCCAGCAGCACCAGUGAGAUCCGGCAUCAAACACAGCUUCACUCUGCUCCCAGGGAAGGAGACACUGGACUGCAUAGCUUUCUCUUUUCAAUAUGUAAAUCCCGGCUUAGUACCUAUGCCCACCGAGUCAUCAGGUCUGCCUCUUGAGAAUUGUAGAAGUAUAAAUGCAUUGUCAAAUGAGAAAAUGUUGUCAACAAGUGGCUAGGUGACUCACUCAAGGUCACAAGGCUGGCGUACAGUUCUGGACCAUCUGGGCACUGAGCUUGAGCACACUUUCACUUGUACGGCCUCUCAAGACAUCUGCAAGUGACACACCGGUCACUUAGCCGACAGUGACUCCAUCAAGGCUCCUACGGAAUGAUACCUCGAUAGUGUGAAAGGCAUACCACGAGGUACGUAGGUGACUCCAGAUGGCACAGAAGACAGCAACUCGAAUGUAUUGAUGUAUUCAGGACACCUGGAAAUUCAUUUUUCCAGCCCCGUUUCCUCAACCUGAGCCUGGAAAGCCAAAUCCAGCUGGCACCAGUCUUCGUAAGUAAAGUUUCACGGAAACACAGUCACGUGAGUGUGUUAACCUGCUGUCUACAGCUGGCUUUGAGCUGCAGAGCCAGAGGAGGAAGAGUCCAGAGUCCUCUGGCUGGCAGACUAGCAUAUUUAACACUAGCCCUUUACAGAACAGGUUUGUAAAAUGUGGUCCUCAAGCGUGUCUUUUUAAACAAGUCUCCUAAAUAAUUCAGUGGGUGGAAGGAUGCCAUGGAAGACGCGGUAACCUAGGGAACAGAGUAAACAGCCCCAGUAGUUAUCCCUCUAAAUCUGGGCGGAACAAU
rnacentral:lncRNA from 14 species